rnacentral:rRNA from 1 species
GUCUGUGGCCAUACCACCCUGAACGCACCCGAUCUCAUCUGGUCUUGGAAGCUCAGCAGGGUUGGGCCUGGUUAGUACUCGGAUGGGAGGAAUGUGAGUGGCGCCACACUUC